rnacentral:lncRNA from 1 species
CAACCUAUUCCAUCCAUUCAAAUUCAAUCUCAUCACAUACGUCCUCCGCCUUCGCCUCCGCCUCCGCCUCCGCCUCCGCCUCCGCCUCCGCCUAUUCCUUCUAGUUUCGGCUCCGCCUCCUCCUUCCAAAGCUGGACUUCUCAUUUUCCGCCGCCUUCUCCUUCUAGUGAACAAAAUCAAAAUCCAUUUGUGGAAAGUGUAAAGUCCCUUUAUCCUCCCAAAGCAAUUCGUAUCUCGAACCCUUUCUAUCUGAACCAAAAAAACGUUAAGAAGGAAAUACCCAAAUCAAUUGACCAAGCUUCAUUCUCAAUCCCCCAAAUGACUAUGAAAUUUACCUAAUGUCCCCCAGAACCCUAAGCCCCAAAUCAUGAAAAUCAAUUACCCAUGUUCCCUUGCCGACCACUCGAAGAGGCCGACCCAAGCGUGAAGAAGCACACCCAUUUCAUUUCUGUACUUCGAGCAAGGACUAGUUGGCGUACACAUGAACGACUCCUUUAUCCAAUAAAAUUUUAUCACUAUUUUGGUUCUAAUAACAACUAAGUGGCUGUUGAUUUGAUUUGUCAAGUUUACUUGGAUUAUUGGAAUUCACUAGUUUUAGAGCUGUUUGAAGCAUGUCAUAAUCAGGACAAUCCUUUAGUAGCCUCAAACAUGAUCGGAUUGCAGGUGCAGUACAUUAUUUUAGUCCCUUUUAAUCCUUUUUCUAUUGUGUUAGAUCUUUGAAUAUAAUCAAUCCAUCAUUGUUUCCUGAGUGAGUUUGAAAGUCAUAAUCCUGUUUUCCUGUUGGCUAUAUGAUGCAUAUAUUUCCAGUUUUAAAGUUGAAGACUUUGAAGGACUAGUUCUCCUAAGUGCAUUCACUACAACAUAUCAAGUCUUCUAUAGCUUGCGAAAAAUGCUAUAUAUCAUGUUUCAUAGCAUUUUCCAAAAUGCUAUCGUAGGUGGUGUAAUUAAAAGUCAUACCUCUAUUAUAACGUUUUAUAAAUGCUAUUAUAAAGUGCUAUAAAAAACUUUUACAUAGCAUUUUUUUAUCGUCAUGGUUUUAGUAUUUAUAGCAUUCUUUUCAUGCAAUCUUUUUUAAUUCGAUAGCAUUUUUUUUUUGUC